AAAGCUGAAAGGGGCUUGACAAGGAUACAGGGCUGGGCACAGCACUCUGGGCCCCCGGAGCUGGAGCUGUUCUUCUUCAGACACUCGUAUUUACUGAUACCAAGCUUAUCUUUGGUUUCUCAGCAAAGGCAGAUAAGGUGAGGGAAAUAUUUGUAGGCAGAGAUUUCUGGAAUUUCCCCACAGUGUUGAAAUAGCCCCGAGAGUUCAAGAAGGCCAUAUUUGGACAAUGAUAAGUAUGUUAUUUUUUUUUUCUAUCUUUUCUGUUUUCCCUGCUAUAUAAUAACAUUUAACCUCCUUCACACAAGGUCAGGGGUGCUGUCCCAAAACUGCCCCAAAGGCAUCUCUUUUCCAAGGACAGGAGAUCCAGGACCCUCCCAGGGUCAUGAACAUAUAUACUAUGUUUCUAAAGGGAAAAUGACCAACAGAGGCAGUGCUUACUGAAGUCAGACGGGGACUGUAACUCAGCAAACCUUCCUCAUGAGGGAGAAGAUGGGAUAAACAAUGGAUUCCUAGCUGAAAUCCUACAAUUGUGGAGAGGUCUUCCAGGGCUGCACUGCACUUGGGGGAAGGGGGGGCAGGAGGAGAAAAGGGAGGAGAGAGAGAGGGAGAGGGAGGGAGGGAGGGGGGAAAGGAGAGGGAGGAGAGAGAAGAGGAGGGAGAGGGAGAGAGAACAGAAAAACAAAGAUGGAAGUGUGUGCCAUUAGGAGGCUCUGAAAGAUUACUCCUGACGCAGCAAAACCUGAGC
rnacentral:lncRNA from 1 species